GGGGCCCGCGGGCCCCUCCACGGCAGUGCCGGGAGACCCAGCAGCCUCCCUGUCCUCCUUGUUGCUCGUCAGCACUUGAAACAGAACAGCAACUUCAGUGACACGGCAACUGUAACAUCAAGGCAAGAGCACUGAUAAUACCCAAGAAAGCCAAGACGGGAACACCACAGCUGCCAAGUGCUGGAAAUAAUCAUUAUGAGGGAGUGGCGGACACAGUGAAAAGCAGAGCCUUAGUCCGGAGGGACCUCUCUAAAUGGGAGGACUGGACCACCAGGAUGCUCACAAAGCCCAGCAAGUAGAAGUGCCAGGGGUGCCUGGUGCACAGGGGUGAGUGAGGGAUAACCCUGAGCAUCAGUCCAGGCUGUAAAGUGACUGGUGGAGCUGCUGGAUAGGACUUGCAGGCGUUGUUUUCUCUGGAGGCCUGGAAUCCUUGGCCACACCGUGUUCCAGUGUUGCUCUUGCCGAUAUCACUGUGGUUUCUGCUGGAGUUUCCUGGAUGUUACUUGAAACAGGAUAAUCACUUACUCAUGUGCAACCAACGACCACAUGGAAGCUGCUCACAAAAGAAGCUGCAGCCUUUGCUAACAAAGGAACUCCUUUCUGUUUUAUUUUUCCAAACAAAAUUCUCAAAACAAAGUAAUUAAAUUUCUCCCUUUGUUCUGGC